rnacentral:lncRNA from 1 species
AGAAGGCGCAAAGGACCCAAGACUGGGCCUACGAUAAGUCUGCGAUAUCCCGUGAGUUCACUGUGGGAGAGAAAGUAAUGGUGCUCGUACCCACGGCUGAACACCGCUUGCUGGCGCAGUGGAGGGGGCCCUACGAGGUAAUGAAAAGGGUCUCACCGGUCAAUUACCUCAUCAAGCAACCUGACAGGAGGAAAAAGGUCCAACUCUAUCACAUAAACCUCUUGAAGAAGUACCAUGGAAGAGAGGAGGAGGUGGCCUUGAUGGCCCUGGAGGGCAAAGGAAAAGAGGCUCUACCAAAGGAAAAGAGGCUCUACCUCUGGCUCUACCACAGGUGCACCGUGGCCAAACUCUCCUGCCGGAGCAGUCGAGACAGCUAGACAAGCUGAUUAUGAACUUCGGCCGGGUAUUCUCUCCAUUCCCAGGACAAACGGAUGUCUUGUUCCACCAUAUCCACACUGAACCCGGCAAGAAGGUUCAUAUCCGCCCUUACAGGAUUCCUGAGGCUCGCCGAGUAAUCGCUAAGAAUGAGGUAAGGGAGAUGCUGAGGAUGGGUGUGAUCGAGCCAUCGACGAGUGAGUGGUCCAGUUCCAUAGUCCUGGUCCCCAAACCUGAUGGUAGUAUGAGACUCUGCAACGACUUUAGGAGCAUGAAUGCCAUCUCUACAUUCAACGCGUACCCCAUGCCCCGCGUGGAUGAACUCUUGGAGCGCUUAGGAAAGGCCAAGUUCAUCACCACCCUGGAUUUGAUGAAGGGAUAUUGGCAAGUGCCAGUGGUUCCAGAGGACCGCCAAAAGACUGCCUUCGCCACACCGGAGAGCUUUUUCAGUAUGUGAGGAUGCCCUUCGGACUGCAUGGUGCCGCUGCAACUUUCCAACGCCUCGUGGAUGCCAUUCUACGGCCCCAUCAAGAGUACGCAGCGGCAUACAUAGACGAUGUGGUCAUCCACAGCGAGGACUGGGAUAGUAAUUUCCUGCGACUACGGGCGGUGCUCAUGAGUCUGGAAGCCACCGGGUUGACGGCCAAUCCAAAAAAAUGCUGCCUGGGUCUGUCCGAAGCGGAAUACCUGGGGUACACCGUGGGGAAUGGGAAAAUACGCCCACAGGCCUUCUUAGGGAUAACGGGACAUUAUCGCCGUUUUAUCCCUAGAUAUGCAACCAUUGCCAACCCCCUCACAAACCUCAUCCAGAAAAACUUGCCAAACCGGGUAGAGUGGAAAGAUGAGACGGAAGAUGCCUUUCAAUUGCUAAAAGAUGGCCUGUGUUCUGAUCCUGUCCUACAGGCUCCGGACUACUCACAAGAGUUCAUUGUGCAGGUAGAUCCCUUGGAUACGGGGCUCGGAGCCGUACUAGCUCAGGGAGAAGGAGAAGCAGAGAGGCCAAUUCUCUUCAUAAGUAGGAAGCUCAGCGAUCGGGAACAGAGAUAUGCUACCGUAGAGAAAGAGGCCCUAGCCAUUAAGUGGGCCCUUGAUUAUCUCCGGUACUACCUACUGGGUCGGAGGUUUGCAUUAGUUACGGACCAUGCGCGCCUCAUGUGGAUGGCUGAUAAAAGAAACAAUAACAACAGAAUAGCCAGAUGGUUUCUUGCUUUACAACCGUUCUCUUUCCAUGUCAUCCACAGGGCCGGAUCGAGGAACGGGAAUGCAGACGCGCUGUCCCGACGCGACCAAGACGGUGCGUCUGGCGCCCGACCCUCCGGUCCGGUCCUGAGGGGGGAGAGAGAGGAGGGAACCAGCAAGAAGGGGGGAAGAUAACUAGCUCUGGAGAAGGGCGACCAGGAGAGAGGAGCUAUCCAAGAAGAUCCAUUAAGACGGUGACAAAUCUGUGAUAGUUGUUAUAGCUUAAAGAUAAUCGUCUUGUGAUCCUGUGUGAUCUAAAGAAGAAGAUGUAUGUUGUUUCUUGGGAGAUUCUCAAUGACUGUGUUGGAGUGUUUGUAUUGUCAGAAAUCCCUCAAUAGAGAACUGUGUUCAAUCAAGAAAACCUACUCUUGACUCGUUUAUUCCACCUUUCCGCUUUAG